AGAGGGCCAGCAGCCGCACGAGAUUGUCACAAGAAUGCCUCGUAGGCUCGUAGAUGUGCUGACGUGCAAAUCGCUUUUCAGACUUGGGUAUAGGGGCGAAAGACUAAUCGAACCAUCUAGUAG
rnacentral:rRNA from 1 species